GUAGGUGGACCUGCGGAAGGAUCAUUACAGUAGUCGCCCGGGUUGCCGCAAGGCCUCCCGGGUAACCUACCCCUUUGUUUAUUACACUUUGUUGCUUUGGCAGGCCUGCCCUCGGGCUGCUGGCUCCGGCCGGCGAGCGCUUGCCAGAGGACCUAAACUCUGUUUGUCUAUACUGCCUGAGUACUAUAUAAUAGUUAAAACUUUCAACAACGGAUCUCUUGGUUCUG
rnacentral:misc_RNA from 1 species